rnacentral:rRNA from 1 species
GAUGAACGCUGGCGGCGUGCCUAAUACAUGCAAGUCGAGCGAACAGACGAGGAGCUUGCUCCUCUGACGUUAGCGGCGGACGGGUGAGUAACACGUGGAUAACCUACCUAUAAGACUGGGAUAACUUCGGGAAACCGGAGCUAAUACCGGAUAAUAUAUUGAACCGCAUGGUUCAAUAGUGAAAGACGGUUUUGCUGUCACUUAUAGAUGGAUCCGCGCCGCAUUAGCUAGUUGGUAGGGUAACGGCUUACCAAGGCAACGAUGCGUAGCCGACCUGAGAGGGGGAUCGGCCACACUGGAACUGAGACACGGUCCAGACUCCGACGGGAGGCAGCAGUAGGGAAUCUUCCGCAAUGGGCGAAAGCCUGACGGAGCAACGCCGCGUGAGUGAUGAAGGGCUGCGUAUCGUAAAACUCUGUUAUUAGGGAAGAACAAAUGUGUAAGUAACUAUGCACGUCUUGACGGUACCUAAUCAGAAAGCCACGGCUAACUACGU